ensembl:lncRNA
AGAGCAAGACUUUAAGGACAUUUUGAAUUCAGCAAAUUAAUUCUGAACAAUAGACCAAAACAGCAUUUUCACACGCCUCAAUGUCUUCCACCUCCCCGUGUUGAGAAUGCCCCAGGUACAGAACUGCACACAGACACAUUCCAAAGCUUAAUGAAAUGAGCGUCUGUCUGGAGGUUGUUAAAGAAACAAGUGACAAUUAAACAUGAUUUGCCUCUGAAUAUCAGGGAAGAAAAAGACUGCGACAGAAGAUCUCCCUAUAAGAAAUUAGCCAUCACCUUCCUGCCUUACUACCUACGAAAUCUUGCUCAAUGAACUAAUUUACAAGCACUGAUAGUGAGUAUUUGUUGUUUUAAUGUAAACAUUCUGUUUUCUCUAUCCAAUGUCUCAGUCCAAAAAUAAAGCAAGAAAAUUUCCACGUUAUCUAUGAGAUGAGACAUUCAGAGAGAACUUUAUUUUCAUUCAGGAAAUAUUUUUCAGAACUGAGCUCAGAGGAAACCCAGGUACACAAUUUCUCAGGGACAGCCUUGUGCACAUGCCGAGAUGCAGCAAGAGGGAAUGGUAUGCUGGAGCGGUACAAGCCCUGUGUUUGCUUUCUCACCAUUGUCUGGCUUCCCCACACUUGUUGAAAUCACAGCAGUUUUCAAUAUAGAAAAGUGAGUUUGCUAAACACGAAUGAACGAAAAACCCUGCUUUCAGUCAUGGAGCUGCAUGUCACACAUUCACUGAGAGUAUCCAAUAGCGUACGCAACAUAAAUUUCCCUUCUGUGCUUUUAGAACAGCUUUUCUUCAGUUAAAUCUACUUUGUAAAUCAUGACAAGUACGAAUCUUUCAUGAUUCUCCAGCACUUCUUUGGACUUCACGCUACAGUCUUAUUGUUUGUGACAUGAAGCAAAACAAGCAAUACUGCUUUUCCUCAUAACCUUUUUUAAUCAGUGAACAUAAAUGGAAAAAAAUAGCGAAGCACUGAAUUUCUUUAUAGAAUAGCUUACAUCAAAAAGCGUCUUCGUUACAGAGAAAAAAGAGGAAUGUAGUUAAUAGAGUGUGUGCUCACAGUGACUUUCUGUUUGAUUAGUAGGCUGCUGCAAAAGGCAGCACUGAGCCUGAUUUAGAAAAACAGUGAGGAGCAUCUAGUCAGGAGAAUCUGACUGCCAGCUUUGUGAAUACACUUGUAGCCCCUGGUUUGUUUCAUUGGUUGUUUCAUUUCUAAAUCAUUUUUAAGAUCACUAGAUAUACAAACAUUAUUAUGCCAAAUAAAAUGGGGGAAAAAAUACCCACAGAAGAAACUGACACCAGGAAAAUAGCAACAAAGAUAAUAAAUCAGGCUGAGCACAGUGCAGUGUGCCCAAAAGCCCAGGUUUUGAGAGUAAAUUAGGUUAAAAAUAAAGUGUAAUUUUCCUUUUUCAAGCUAUUCUGCCCUUGGCCUUCUUGAUUUGUUCAACUUGCACUUGUGAGAUAUGAUGUACUCAACAGUUAUUGCUUUUGCAUAUUCUCAUUUCAGAGGGCUGUAUAUCAUAAGGCAUUAAAAUUUCAGUAUUCCUGCUAGAGGCUCUCAAGUAAUUUUAUAAUUCUGUGGUUUAAUUAUUGAAAUAAUUGCAAUGUACAUUCAAUAAGUGCAGCAGUGCACUGGUGAUAUGAACAGUGUGAUAUACACGUAUUCUCAGUGGUAGAGGAAGCCUACACUGUCAUCAGCCAUGCUAGCUCCUCUACACAAAGUAAUUAUGGAGAGACAGGGUUUUUUGAGAGCUAACAGCCAAAUAGUAACAUUUCUUCAGCACACCAAUUUCUCCUACAGAAUUUCUGCAGACAUCCUUAGUUCCUUGCAGGUGGGUACCUGCAGAGCUUGGGCAGCAGAGAGGGAUGCAACACAAAUCCGCUAAAACCAGGUGGGGGCAUUUUCUCCCCUGCAAAUAAAGCCUGAUCCUUUAGUUGAACCAUGCCUUAGGGGAAAAACUUGAUGCUUUUGUACACUCCCUAUGAUCCCAAUGGAUGAGCAUUCAAAUGGGAAAUUCUGGUCCAAAUACGUGUCUCCAUCCUUAUAGCUCAACUCAGUGCCUUGAGCAUCCUGAGGCUCCAAAAUCCCCCUGAAAAUUCUACAAAG